rnacentral:rRNA from 1 species
UACGGAGGGAGCAAGCGCUAUACGGAAUCACUGGGUUUAAAGGAUGAGUAGGCUGCUGCAUAAGUCAGGGGUGACAGUUUGUCGCUUAACGAUAGAUUUGCCUUUGAUAGUGUGCGGCUUGAAAUUAGGUCAGGUUGGAGGAAUGUGACAUGUAGCGGUGAAAUGCGUAGAUAUGUCAUAGAACACCGAUUGCGAAGGCAGCUGGCUAACCUAAAUUUGACGCUGAGGCUCGAAAGCGUGGGUAGCAAACAGG